rnacentral:siRNA from 1 species
GAGAACCACAGUCAACCCUGUACC